GUGGUUGUGGCUCAGUGGUAGAGUGAUUGUCUAGCACAUAUGAGGCACUGAGUUUGAUCCUCAGCACCACA
rnacentral:tRNA from 1 species